AUUACACUAGCUCCUUCUUUCCUGUGGAUAACUCUGGUUAUGGAGCAGAAGGUCAAACAGAUUGUGGUGGAACACUUCAUAACUUUGCCUUCACAUCAGCCUUACGAUGUGGUAUAACCUUCAGUGGGUCAGAGGUCAUAACCUUGGGUGGUGGAGAAGAACUAUGGUUAUUUAUAAACAAGAUACUGGUCGUUGAAAUUGUGAAAAAUAGGACAACUUCUGAUGUACCUUGCCAGAAAAUUGAUUUGUCAGCAGCAAUAGGAGGAGGCUAUGUUAUACCAGAAGAAGGUGUUUUAAUAAAUGGAGAUUGUGUUGGGUUAUCUCCCCUUGCAAGUGCAACUGUAUAUGUUGAACUAGUGAUAGGAGACACAUACCCAUUUGAAAUUUUCCAUACAGAGAGACAUCCUUGUACAUCAGAGUUGUUUAUACAGUUUGAGAAUGUAGAUCUAUUAGAGAAUGGAUCAUUGCCAUUUAAUUAUCAUC